rnacentral:rRNA from 1 species
UACGGAGGGUGCAAGCGUUAUCCGGAUUCACUGGGCUUAAAGGGUGCGUAGGUGGUUUGGUAAGUCAGUUGUGAAAUCCCCGAGCUUAACUUGGGAACUGCCAUUGAUACUAUCAGUCUUGAAUACUGUGGAGGUCAGCGGAAUAUGUCAUGUAGCGGUGAAAUGCUUAGAUAUGACAUAGAACACCAAUUGCGAAGGCAGCUGGCUACACAAAUAUUGACACUCAGGCACGAAAGCGUGGGGAUCAAACAGG